CAUUCAUAUAUCAAGUAUAAAUUGAUAUGGUUUACACUUUUAUGAAUUUUGUAUUCUAAAUUUAGACCUUCAAAGCAGAAGCCCAAAGCAAUCCCAACCCGGCCCACCUGAAAGAAAUCUCAGUGAAACGACGACGUUGCAUUAACACAACAAACUUGAGGCCGAGGGAUCAUCGAGCAUCGAACACGACGGCGUGAAGAGAUACGAAGAAUGACCGACGACUCUAUCACUUGUGGAAGCUAUACACGCGAGCCCCAUGCUAGCCGUACUCUGUCUCUCCGGCGGCGCCUCUCAGGUUAAUGUCGGUUCCAGGAGCUUCCAACGCCAUGCUUGAAACAGUUGUACCGUACUCCAGAAUGUCCAUAAUUCAGUCACUCGGCAAGGGGAUCGCAAAUGCAUGCAAAAUCCCAGCAACAUUCGUUUCCUGGUUGACUGAAUCUGAAAAAGUUACUGAAUUUGAGGAAUUCUUCAGUGAAGAACAAGAAAUAGAACUCUUUGCUUUCGGGUUUAUCCCUUUUCAAAUGGUUUGCUUUUCAUUGAACAAAGUUAAUUUAAAAUCGGCUUGAGGUUAAUUACUUAAGGUUUGAAUUUGAUUUAAAAAUUAUUUUAGGAUUUAGA